rnacentral:rRNA from 1 species
CCAGCCACACUGGGACUGAGACACGGCCCAGACACCUACGGGUGGCAGCAGUCGAGAAUUUUUCUCAAUGGGGGAAACCCUGAAGGAGCGACGCCGCGUGGAGGACGAAGGUCUUCGGAUCGUAAACUCCUGUCAUCCGGGAACAAGAAAGUGAUAGUACCGGAAGAGGAAGGGACGGCUAACUCUGUGCCAGCAGCCGCGGUAAUACAGAGGUCCCAAGCGUUGUUCGGAUUUAUUGGGCGUAAAGGGUGCGUAGGCGGUCGGGUAAGUCAUGUGUGAAAUCUCGGAGCUCAACUUCGAAACUGCACGCGAUACUGCUUGGCUUGAGGAGUGGAGAGGAGACUGGAAUUCUCGGUGUAGCAGUGAAAUGCGUAGAUAUCGAGAGGAACACCCGUGGCGAAGGCGGGUCUCUGGACACUUCCUGACGCUGAGGCACGAAGGCUAGGGGAGCGAACGGGAUUAGAUACCCCGGUAGUCCUAGCAGUAAACGGUGCGCGUUUGGUAUGGGGGGACUAGACCCCCUCCGUGCCGGAGCUAACGCGUUAAACGCGCCGCCUGGGAAGUACGGCCGCAAGGCUAAAACUCAAAGAAAUUGACGGGGGCCCGCACAAGCGGUGGAGUAUGUGGCUUAAUUCGAUGCAACGCGAAGAACCUUACCCAGGCUUGACAUGCAUUGUGUCCCGGAUGAAAGUCCGGUAGCGUAGCAAUACGCGCUUUGCACAGGUGCUGCAUGGCUGUCGUCAGCUCGUGUCGUGAGAUGUUGGGUUAAGUCCCGCAACGAGCGCAACCCUUGUGUCCUGUUGCCACCCUCUUAGGAGGAGCACUCUGGACAGACUGCCUGGUCAAGCCAGGAGGAAGGUGGGGACGACGUCAAGUCUGUAUGGCCCUUACGCCUGGGGCUGCACACGUACUACAAUGCCUGGUACAAUGGGAACCGAUAUCGCAAGGUGGAGGAAAUCCACAAAACCAGGCCCAGUUCGGAUUGGAGGCUGCAACUCGCCUCCAUGAAGCCGGAAUCGCUAGUAAUGGCGCAUCAGCUACGGCGCCGUGAAUACGUUCCCGGGCCUUGUACACACCGCCCGUCACAUCAUGGAAGUCGCUUGUACCCGAAGUGCCUGCGCCAACCGCAAGGAGGCAGCGCCCUAAGGUAUGAGUGGUAACUGGGAUGAAGUCGAAACAAGGUAGCCGUAGGGGAACCUGCGGCUG